UACGUAGGGGGCUAGCGUUGUCCGGAUUUAUUGGGCGUAAAGAGCGUGUAGGCGGCCGGGUAAGUCCGGUGUGAAAACUCGGGGCUUAACCCCGGGCCUGCAGUGGGUACGGGCAGACUAGAGUGCGGUAGGGGAGACUGGAAUUCCUGGUGUAGCGGUGAAAUGCGCAGAUAUCAGGAGGAACACCAAUGGCGAAGGCAGCUCGCUGGGACGUGACUGACGCUGGAGAACGCGAAAAGCGUGGGGGAGCAAACAGG
rnacentral:rRNA from 1 species